rnacentral:rRNA from 1 species
UACGAAGGGGCUAGCGUUGUUCGGAAUUACUGGGCGUAAAGCGCACGUAGGCGGAUCGAUCAGUCAGGGGUGAAAUCCCAGAGCUCAACUCUGGAACUGCCUUUGAUACUGUCGAUCUAGAGUAUGGAAGAGGUGAGUGGAAUUCCGAGUGUAGAGGUGAAAUUCGUAGAUAUUCGGAGGAACACCAGUGGCGAAGGCGGCUCACUGGUCCAUUACUGACGCUGAGGUGCGAAAGCGUGGGGAGCAAACAGGG